GGAGGGAUGGCUGAGAGGUCGAAAGCGCGCGACUCGAAAUCGUGUUCAGGGCAACCUGACGAGGGUUCGAAUCCCUCUCCCUCCG
rnacentral:tRNA from 1 species